AGGUUUUUUUUUCCAAAAUAAGUGUUGUUCCCUCGUCUCGUGAUUAUCGAAUCCGAGGGUUUCAUUGUUUAUCUUUUUCUCUCAACAUCAGAUCUCUGGUUCAAUGCAAAACUAGGAUUCAUUUUUCAUCAUUCUCAUCGCAACUAGACUAGCGAUCAAACCAACUUGUUUCUUUUACCGAUCCCAAGAACAAUGGAUAACUCUUUUCUUCUACCGAUUUCAACACUUUUCUUCUUCUCUUUAUCAUUCUCGUUACAGUCUCGAGUAUCAACUUCAACAGAGGGAGGAGAAAAUAAGAGCUAGAGAAGACAAGAUUUGGGUUGCGCAAUCCCACAAAAUUUAAUUCUAAGUUUACAUUCUCAUAUUUUUACCAGUUUUCGGUGAUCUGGAAAACUAUACCGCAAUAUGCCAGUGAAGAUUGUCGAAGAAGGUCGGUUUUAGUGUUUCUUCAAAUUGAUCGUUCUAUUUGUUACCAUGUUCAGUCAUUUUUGAGGACUUGGAUUGUUCGGUACCUUGUCAGAUCCGAAAUUGCUGGUCAAGGAAGCUAUAAAGGGGAGCCAAAUCUACAUGACAAACUAACUUUCUUAAGCACGAAUACGGCACAACAAGUGUUUGAGAAAAGUCCUAAGAGAAACAAGUGUCUUCCUUUACCCAUUUCAGUAACGCAGGGUUUUGUGGCCUGGGAAUGGAUUGCUGGUGUGGAUUUAAGGCAGGAUAGGUUUAAUUUCAAGCAUCAAGUGGAUUGAUUCCGAUAUUAGUCUGAGAUUGUGUAAAUUUAGUUUAUCUCGUCUUUUUUCUUACAUAAAAGUUGGAAUCACUGCACUUCGUAACAAACUUAUAUUUAUGAAAUUUGA